rnacentral:rRNA from 1 species
GUGGGGAAUCUUGCGCAAUGGGCGAAAGCCUGACGCAGCCAUGCCGCGUGAAUGAUGAAGGUCUUAGGAUUGUAAAAUUCUUUCACCGGGGACGAUAAUGACGGUACCCGGAGAAGAAGCUCCGGCUAACUUCGUGCCAGCAGCCGCGGUAAUACGAAGGGGGCUAGCGUUGCUCGGAAUUACUGGGCGUAAAGGGCGCGUAGGCGGAUCGUUAAGUCAGGGGUGAAAUCCCAGAGCUCAACUCUGGAACUGCCCUUGAUACUGGCGAUCUUGAGUGUGAGAGAGGUAUGUGGAACUCCGAGUGUAGAGGUGAAAUUCGUAGAUAUUCGGAAGAACACCAGUGGCGAAGGCGACAUACUGGCUCAUUACUGACGCUGAGGCGCGAAAGCGUGGGGAGCAAACAGGAUUAGAAACCCUUGUAGUCC